AACCAGCAAGAACUGCUAAUUCUCGCAUCUGAGACUAAAACCUCAGUCCCCUUA
rnacentral:tRNA from 1 species